UUUUGUUCGAAGUCAGUUCGUUUUUGUUGCAAAUUUUGUUACAUCAAAUAAUAAUAAAUCAAACAAAAAGUUAACCAUAACAAUUAGUGAUCAUUUUGCAAAUUGAGAGGUGUACUGUAAUUUCAUAAAAAAAAAUAUCAACCAUAAUAUCGAAAACAUAUAAAUUCGAUUCGGAGAGAACAAAACGAGAGGCCAGUUCAAUUAUCCCGAAAAUGAAGAGAUCAAAUGAUGAAAUGAUGGGCAAUGAAACUAAACGAUUGGCAGAGGAAAUCCACCCGAAUAAACAAAAUAUGUCAUUUUGAAGCCAACCCGAGAAAAUGUUGGACAGAAAGGAACUUGAAAAAAUCAGGGAAUAGGCUUAUCGAAUAGCAGAGAGUAUUCGACAAACAGCAGAGAGUAUUCGACAAACAGCAGAGAGUAUUCGACAAACCAGAGCUCACAGUCGAAGGAUCGAAUGUCAAUUGCGACGUUAUCGAAUGACAAUAAGGAAAGAGUUGUUAGUUUUAACUCAGUUGAGUCGAGACUGAAUUUUAUUAAACUUCUUAUUUACUACGUUACAUCAGUUUUGUCAGCUGAGUUAGACUGACCUAUUUGAAUUCUUUGAAAUGUAUUGUUUGAAUUGACACGAAUUGCAUUUAUCGGAUUAAAUUGCUUAUCUAAUCUAAAGAUUCGGAUUAAAUUGAAAUUAUAACAACAAUAUUUGCUUUUUAUUAUUACGUAGAAUUGACACUAAUUGUUCAUAAAUUAACUUGCAUAACUUUAAAAAACAUCAUUCGAUGAUUCAUAUUUGCAUGUUAAUAGACAGAAUUUAACAAACCGCAGAGAGAAUUGAACAACAAGGAGAGAGAAUUGAACAAGCCAGAAAGGAAAUCGAAGAAAUCGAGGAUCUGUUCAACCGGCGAAUUUUGAAUCAAUAGAGAUAAAUAAUUGGGACAUUAGCCAAAUUCUGGAGAGAUGGACCGUAGCUGUGCAACUAGCGAUUCAAUACAGCUGGUGCCAUCUGGAAUUUCUGUGUACAGUGUACCGAACUACACAGAAUGUGUAUGAUUUGUUGUUGAAAAGAAUAAAAACAGGGCAAAGUAAACGUCAAACGUGACCACAGAGUGUACCUGUUGUGCAGCUACGAGAUGGACUAUAUACAAAUAGAAGAAAAUCAAUUACUAAUUACAAUUCGCAUUUACCAUUUUACUUCAUGUGUCAUUUAUUCUGGUUCUAACUUUAUAGAAAAACUGAACGAAAUAACUAAAGAGAGAAUAUUGUGAAAUGAAAAUAUGCGUCUAUUUAGCUACUUUGGCUUAGGUUUCAUUUUACAUCGAACAUGUUAUGGUGCAACCAAGAAAACAAAGGUAAAUUCUGCAAUUUCGUUCAAGUUUGCGCGCGAACGGCAUUUGCAUACGACGUAUUAGCGGUCAUAUUUUGAAUUUCUUGGGCAGAAACGAAAAAAAAGUAUAUUUGUUUAUCUACUAGCGUUAAUCUGUUAUCUGAAAUGCAAUAAUUACGGUAUUGUUUAGUUGGCUGU